UGCCUUGUUUUAGUUGUUGAAUAUUAUAUAAUCUGUCUUCUCCUUGCAGGUGUGCCUAACUCCUGUAUUAAUUACAGUUUUUGUGGCAUACUGGGCACUCCUGUGCAUAUUUGCUUCAGAGCUCACCAGCCUGGAAGACAUGGCUGAGGUUUGCUCCUUGCCUAAUAGAAAAGUCUGAUCUUGAAUAGGUCUGUCUGGCCGCUGUAGUGAGUGAUGCUGGCAAUCCUCAUAAAAUGAAAUGUUCAAUAUUCUGUGUGUAGAAUCACAUCCAUUUUCCCAACAUCUGGAAUGAUUCCCCUGACACUUCAGGGUUCUUUAGCUUAAAUGUUCCGUGUAGACUGUGUACAACUAACAGUCGCUGCUUUUCUUCUGGAGUGCAAAGAGAAUGUACAGUUUUGCAUCCAUUUGUGUGGCUUCUGGGACUUUUUCUGCUUUUAACAUUCUCUGGCAAUGCCUCAUCCUGAGUCUGCCUUUGGCGGCAGCCGCAGCACUGAGGGGCCAUGCAGGCAGAAUAAAUAACAAGGCAGUGCUGAGAGGCUUUCCUUGAUAAAAAAUUGCUGUAGGCUGGGCAGAGAGGGCAUAUUUUUUUAGCAAAGAAAAAGCUCCCAUGGCUGCUGCUGUAGGAAACGGAUCCAUUAUUGUCACUCUCUGUUCUGGGAAGGGACAGAAGAACUUUUUGAUUUUCUUUGGUUUCUCUUGUACAGUCUGCCACAGCAGUCAGCAUUAGCAAAGCCAGACCUGUGCUCAUCUUUUCAAAAUAUCACUUUUAUUUCUGAAUACUGAUUACUCAGGCAGACUGCAAGGCAGAGCUGUGAGAGUUUCAAAAGCAGGGCAACAGAUUGUUGUACUGAAGUGGUAAUGACACGAAAAAUGGAGGCAGGGUACAAGCAAUCCACUUAAGGGACCUGGAAAUGUUGUGAAGAAAAGGAUUGGGGCUGAAAUACAGAUGUUAGAUGAAGGAAGGUUUUUACUCAGCACUUGUUAGACCACAUCUAGACUACUGUGUCCAGCUUUGCCGCCUGCAACACCAGAAAGGCACCAAUGACCCAGAGCAAGCUCAGCAGAGAACCUCCAAGAUGAUCGAGGCAGGAGCACUUGCCUUAUGAGGAGAGGCUGGGAGAGGUGGGCUUCUUCCAUCAGGAGAUACAAGGGCUUUGGAAGGACUUAACAACAGGCGUCUGAUGAGUACAAGGAAGUCAUGGAAAAGAUGGAACCAAGCUGUUCAUAUUUGGGCACAAUAGUGGAGCACAGACAGUUGAAUUCUCAUGAGAUUUAAGGAGAAGAUUUUUCACUGCAAGGACAGCCAGGCAGCAAAGCAAGGAGGCUGUGCAUUCAGUCUCCUCUCUGGAGACCCAACUGGAUAAACCUCAAGCAACGUGGUCUGAAGCUUACCUUGUUUUAUGCAGGGGCUUGAGCCAGAGACCUCCUGACCCUUUCCACCUGAGUUAGUCUGUGAUCCUGAUUACCAGCCCCUCCAUCCUAGUAAAUAUAAUAACUGCUCUGCACAGCUCACUACAGCUCAGUCAUCACCCAAAACAGCCACUACAUGAACUCUUAACCUCAAGAAAAAAAUGUGCAAGCCUCCAGGAUCCUUGCAAUAUUAUAAUUUGUUUAAGAAACAAACCUUGAAAUGUUGACCUCAAUGUCUUCAGUAGAGUUACAGCAGUUCAGAGCUGUGGAGAGUGUGAAACAAUGGUUUCAACUCAGAAAUGUGUUGUAUAAAGCCUGAAAUCUCCUUCCCUCAGGCCAUCAAGUCACUCCUUCCUUUGCAAUCUGAGGUGAGGAAUUUCUCAGCCCAGCUUUGGACCCUGGGGUUUGGAGAGAACCAUCAUCUCUGUCAACUUUCACUCAGUCAUCAAAGUCACCUUUUUAAUUUGGAAAAUGUGUUCUCUGUAUUGGUCAACUUCAGUAAACACCUUUAAUGU